CAAGCGGGCCCGGCGGAGAUCGGGGUCCAAAGGGACUUGUGGGCCCCAAGGGAGGGCUGGGAGAAAUUGGCCUUCCUGGACCUGAAGGCCCAGCGGGCCUGCCAGGAAAACCAGGAGAACCAGGCACAGAGGGAGACCAGGGGAACCAAGGCCCACAAGGUCAAACAGGACCACCGGGAGAUAAG